GGAUUAAGCAUGCAGCACAGUAUAUCUGUAUGUUGGACUGAGCUGGCAGUCCCGAAUAAACAGCACAUGGACCCCGAAGAUGAUAAAUCAAGAAAGAACAAACAUAACAGACAGGACAAAAGUCAAAGUCGUCCACUCAUACAAGAUUGUACACGUAGUAGUACAGGGUGCGUGCAACGAAACAGAAUAGCGACGGGGAGGCGGCUAAUGCUGCAAGGGCAGCGUGGGCGAGUGAGAGAGAGAGAAGAGGGGGAAGGCAUGGCAUAGUCGGCACGGCCUGAAUGACUGACUGACCGACUGGUAUGGAUGAUGAUCCGGAUAUGGAAUUUGGAUCAUGAGAUGGAUAAAUUGUCGGGCCGAUCAGGACUCUGGGCCAGCAUCGUCUUCAGAAAGAGGGGGAGAGAGAGGAGAGACAGGGGAGCAGAAAAGUAUCGGAAAAAUCAGGGGAUGAAAAGGGAGAGUCGGAGACAUGCGGAACACCGAGACUAGUAAGCCUCACUUUCUGGCGCGAUGCAGAAAGGGGAAUAGCACAUAGCGGUGCUAGCAUGUAACAAGUAUGGGAGUGCCAAAAAUUGGAGCCAGGCAAGGGUUCAUGAAUGCUCGCCUCACUUUUUUGGCCGUCUCCUUUUCCAAUUUUUGUCAAGACGCGCGGGAAGCGGAAGCGGA
rnacentral:lncRNA from 1 species